UUAACGCUGAGGUGUGAUGACGAGGCACUACGGUGCUGAAGUAACAAAUGCCCUGCUUCCAGGAAAAGCCUCUAAGCAUCAGGUAACAUCAAAUCGUACCCCAAACCGACACAGGUGGUCAGGUAGAGAAUACCAAGGCGCUUGAGAGAACUCGGGUGAAGGAACUAGGCAAAAUGGUGCCGUAACUUCGGGAGAAGGCACGCUGAUAUGUAGGUGAAGCCCCUGCGGGUGGAGCUGAAAUCAGUCGAAGAUACCAGCUGGCUGCAACUGUUUAUUAAAAACACAGCACUGUGCAAACACGAAAGUGGACGUAUACGGUGUGACGCCUGCCCGGUGCCGGAAGGUUAAUUGAUGGGGUUAGCGGCAACGCGAAGCUCUUGAUCGAAGCCCCGGUAAACGGCGGCCGUAACUAUAACGGUCCUAAGGUAGCGAAAUUCCUUGUCGGGUAAGUUCCGACCUGCACGAAUGGCGUAAUGAUGGCCAGGCUGUCUCCACCCGAGACUCAGUGAAAUUGAACUCGCUGUGAAGAUGCAGUGUACCCGCGGCAAGACGGAAAGACCCCGUGAACCUUUACUAUAGCUUGACACUGAACACUGGUCCUUGAUGUGUAGGAUAGGUGGGAGGCUUUGAAGUGUGGACGCCAGUCUGCAUGGAGCCGUCCUUGAAAUACCACCCUUUAAUGGCUGGUGUUCUAACGUAGACCCGUAAUCCGGGUUGCGGACAGUGUCUGGUGGGUAGUUUGACUGGGGCGGUCUCCUCCCAAAGAGUAACGGAGGAGCACGAAGGUUAGCUAAUCCUGGUCGGACAUCAGGAGGUUAGUGCAAUGGCAUAAGCUAGCUUGACUGCGAGAGUGACGGCUCGAGCAGGUGCGAAAGCAGGUCAUAGUGAUCCGGUGGUUCUGAAUGGAAGGGCCAUCGCUCAACGGAUAAAAGGUACUCCGGGGAUAACAGGCUGAUACCGCCCAAGAGUUCAUAUCGACGGCGGUGUUUGGCACCUCGAUGUCGGCUCAUCACAUCCUGGGGCUGAAGUAGGUCCCAAGGGUAUGGCUGUUCGCCAUUUAAAGUGGUACGCGAGCUGGGUUUAGAACGUCGUGAGACAGUUCGGUCCCUAUCUGCCGUGGGCGCUGGAGAAUUGAGGGGGGCUGCUCCUAGUACGAGAGGACCGGAGUGGACGCAUCACUGGUGUUCGGGUUGUCAUGCCAAUGGCACUGCCCGGUAGCUAAAUGCGGAAAAGAUAAGUGCUGAAAGCAUCUAAGCACGAAACUUGCCCCGAGAUGAGUUCUCCCUGAGACUUUAAGUCUCCUGAAGGAACGUUGAAGACGACGACGUUGAUAGGUCGGGUGUGUAAGCGCAGCGAUGCGUUGAGCUAACCGAUACUAAUGAACCGUGAGGCUUAACC
rnacentral:rRNA from 2 species